rnacentral:rRNA from 1 species
CAAGGAAGCACACUCAGGCCAUAGAUUAAGCCAUGCAAGUGUUAGUUCAGGCAACGAAACUGCGAACAGCUCAUUAAUACGCUCAGAACCUAUUUGGUUUCGGCCCUGCAGGGUCCUAAAUGGAUAGCAGUGGUAAUUCCAGUGCUAAUACAUGCAGUAUAUCCACCUUAAAUGACUUAAGGUGAGGACAUGACCUUUAGGCGUACCAUUCGGUUGAGCGCCCUAUCAGCUUGUGCGCAGUAUCUUUUACUGUGCAGGCUAUCACGGGUAACGGGCGGUUAUCGUCGGACUGCCGGAGAGGGCGCCUGAGAGACAGCGGCCAUCUCCACGGAAAGCAGCAGGCGCGAAACUUACCCACUCGCCAACGGCGGAGGUGGUAAUGGCCAGUUCCAUCGUGUCGUAAGACCGGCGGAUAGGAUAACGCUUUUUCAGCGUUGUGAAAUCUAGGAGAGGGCCAGUUCUGGUGCCAGCAGCUGCGGUAAUUCCAGCUCUCCAAGUUUGCUCCCAAUGCUACACUUAAAACGCCCGUAGUCUGAAUUCGAAGCUCGCAUAGAGCGUUCACCGUGAACAAAUCAGAAUGCUUAGAGUAGUUCAUAACUGAAUGACUCCGCGCGGUAUGAGAUCUUUACCCCGCAAGGGGUCAGAUCAAAGAGAGCGAUCGGGGGUUGACCUAUUUCAUGGCGAGCGGCGGAAUGUGUUGACCCAUGAGAGAGGAACGAAUGCGAAGGCAUCAACCUAGAGCGUUUCUGUCGAUCAAGGGCGAGAGUCGCAGGAUCCAACCGGAUUAGAGACCCGGGUAGUUGCGACCUUAAACUAUGCCGACGGGGCCACGUCCACGGGCGGGGUCCUAAGCGAAAGCCUGAGUCUUUGGGCUGUGGGGGAACUACGACCGCAAGGCUGAAACUUGAAGGAAUUGACGGAAGGGCACACCAGAAGUGGAUACUGUGGCUCAAUCUGACUCAACGCGGAGAAACUUACCAGGACCAGAUAUUUUUAAUGACUGACCAGCUAAAGACUGUUCAGGAUAUGAUUUUUGGUGGUGCAUGGCCGUUGGUGGUGCGUGGAUUGAUCUGUCAUGCGUCGAUUCAGAUAACGAGCGAGACUACCACCGAUUACUUAGUCAUCCGCUCUGCUGAGCGCGAUGUCUUCUAAUCGGGACUCCCUGCGUUUAAGCAGGCGGAGGAGGGUAGCAAUAACAGGUCCGUGAUGUCCUUUAGAUGCUCUGGGCUGCACGCGUUCUACAAUGCUGGAACCAUCGGGAUGCUAACCUGAGAAGGUAUGCUACUCCCUUAAUCUCCAGCGUAGUUGGGAUUGACGGUUGUAAUCACCGUCAUGAACCAGGAAUUUCUUGUAAACGUGUAUCAACAUUGCACGUUGAAUACGUCCCUGCCCUUUGUACACACCGCCCGUCGCUCCUACCGAUGGAUGGAUUGGUGAAAUUGUUGGAGCUUCGGCGAAGGCAAUUAAGCCUGUUGAUCUAGAGGAAGGAGAAGUCGUAACAAGGUAUCU